rnacentral:tRNA from 1 species
GAUCUCGUAGCUCAGUUGGCGAGAGCGUCGGUUUCCGAAGCCGAAGGUCGCAGGUUCGAGUCCUGCCGGGAUCA